rnacentral:tRNA from 1 species
AGAGCGGAGGUUUGAGCGCACCGAAAGCAGCCCCCUUUCACGGCGAUAACACGGGUUCGAAUCCCGUUGGCCCUACCA